rnacentral:rRNA from 1 species
GACGAACCGUACGAACGUUAUUCGGAAUUACUGGGCUUAAAGCGUGCGUAGGCGGUUCGUUAAGUCUGCUGUGAAAGCCCCGGGCUCAACCUGGGAAUGGCAGUGGAUACUGGCGAGCUAGAGUGUGAUAGAGGAUGGUGGAAUUCCCGGUGUAGCGGUGAAAUGCGUAGAGAUCGGGAAGGAACGUCAGUGGCGAAGGCGGCCAUCUGGAUCAACACUGACGCUGAGGCACGAAAACGUGGGGAGCAAACAGG